rnacentral:lncRNA from 1 species
GUCCAUAUGAUCCACUCUCAAGCACAAGUAGUGGAGGAUGGGGAGAUGCAUGGGACUAAUCCCUGAUGACAGCUGACGGAACGGUACAGAAGUUAAAUCCAAAUGCCGGAGAUGCCCCGGAAACACCGCUCUGUCCCACUCCCUCAUUGCGGCUUCACCCUUAUAAUCCCUUAGUUCCAGAUGCUGGAGUUUGUGGAGAUUGCCUAGUGAAUGCACAAGAUCUGACUGCACUAUCCCUUUCAAGUGACCGACACUAAUGUUGAGCAUCCUGAGUUCGCUUUGGUUGCCAACGUCCUUCAUAAAUUGCCGCUGGGACUCCUCAUCCAGGUUAUCAAUACGUAUACACAGGUACUCUAAUGACGUCACCUUCCUCAGGAUCAACCCAUCCGGCGCGCACGUAGAGAAGUUGCCACGUAGGCAGACCAACUGCGUUAACUGGCAAACGGCCGAUGGCAGUACCUGUAUGUAAGAACCUUGCAAGUCAAGUGUCUGUAGAAACUUCAGUUUUCCUAUUUCUUCCGGGAGCUGAUUAAUACCAGAUUCACCACCUUGUACAUAUCGUAGCCCAAGGUACCUCAAAUGAAGUAGAUUUCCAAGGUGCUUAAGACCCUGUCAGCCUGGCUUAGGCAUUUUGUAAUGCGCUACUGUUGGUGCUAGAAAUCGGUCAACCGGAUCCCAGCAGCCGACACACGACCCGGGAGAAUCUGCUUAGCUCCUGUUCGGGUGAAUGCCCUGGUGCGGUUCGCGCGGCGUGCCAGCCAAUCUGACCUGUUGAUUGGCAAGGAAAAACACGUGUCAAAUUCAGUAACUACGAUCGGCUAAGUUUCCGAUCGGGAAAGCUUAUCGGCAGAUCAACCGAUUUACUGUAGUAGAGAAAUCGGCUACAAGACAGCACGAUCCCCGUAGCCUUGUAGAUAGAAAAAUAUUAAAGUAAUCGGUACAAGGUACGUAGUAACAGCACUAGGAAAAGAUCUAAUCGGCAACAGAUGGAUCUAGUAACGGAAGGUAAUGAAAGCCGAUACUACCGAUUCCUAGCGGGAUAACUGGUGAUAAAAACUAGGAAAAUAGGCAAAAACCUAUGAAGCUAGUUAAUACCGAUAACUGAUGAAUAAAUCUAAACGAAACAACAGCGAUACGCCAGAAGUUAAAGCUUAGAAAUUACUCGAUAAACGGAACUUACAGAAUCGGCCGGAGAUCAAGAUGAUGCAGCCCUGCCAAUCCGCACGAACUCGUGAGAAGGAAAAAGUGAUGGCGAAGUCGCCUGCUCGAAAGUAAGUAUGAAGAAUAAAGUAACUUGUUGUAUUGAUUGAUUGUUGUUUACAGAUUUACAAAGGUAGCUAUUUAUAGCCCCGUACAAAUAAUCUUCUUUAACCGACUAGGACUCUAUCUCUAAUUCAAACAGAAAACAAAUAUCUACAAGCACAAUCCGUGCUAAACUAAUUACCCCACGCUUCGUGGGCUGAACUCCUCCUCAUCUUUCCACCUUCCCAAGCCCAUACAGGCCCACUUUAGUCCACUUUCCUGAUCGGCCGAUUUUUCAUCAGCGAAGGAUUGCCGAUUGGGAAUCUGACGUAUUCACUCUGAAGUGAAGUAAAAGCCACUUGACCGAUUCCGCACUGUAGCCCCUUUUGACCGAUUCCCAUCUGUAUUCUUUCGAUUUCUCUCUUCUUUGACGCCGAUUCUACUGAUGACGAAAUCCGGCGUCAACACAUGCCCCCCAGUUUCGGAGUAAAACAUAAUCCUUUACUUCGAAAUUCUUUACAACCUCUCCUCCGAAACGGCCGCAGUGAAAAUAUCCUUCCGUUUCGCGGUCUCCCGGCUGAUCAUCGCAAUUUUUGAAACGGGCGCCCACGACGGCCACUACCCCAAAAAACUCGACGCGCCGGCGCGGUGAAAAUUCCAAUUUUACCCUUCUUUCAGGCACCCUAUAAAUAUCAUUUCACCGCAACUCAUCUUCAAGCUCACACCUCUUUUCUAGCGCGCGCGCCUCCUUCUUUCUGCAAUCUUGCCAUCGAAGUCUUCCAGUUUCAGCUCCAAUCACUUCUCCCCCUUUCCCUUCAAUGGCGACUCCUUCCGGCAACUCCCCAGCACGCGAUGCCGCAGGAACAAUUCCUCCGGUGGAGGUAGCGACGGUCGUCACUUCCUCAACAAACGCAAGGGCUUCAUCAGAAAUCCCGAUGGCGAUUCCCUUCACAGCCCCAUCAUCUGCACCAACGUCGGCGGCUACGCCGAUUACUCAGAACUUCAUCCCGGAGGUAAAUACCGAAUCUUCUCCUUAUCGGCAAUAUUUUAGAUCUACUCCUUAUACUCCUAUGCCCUCUUUUCCUUUUUUAGGCGGUUAGAGAUAGAAUUACUAUUCACCUCACGGAUAGUCCCGGCCUUGUUUGUCUCGGUCCCAUGGGAAACCCAGAUCCAGCGAUUCUUAUAGAUUCGGAAACUGACCGGAUACCUUUCAAACGGUCCGAUAUGAACUUGAAUCAAUGGGCAAGUACUUUUAGAUCCUGGCCGAAUGAAACCCCUGGUUGGAGGGAAUGGUACCAACGGGUGGCCGCAUCAAGGAGCGUUUCAUGGGAUGAGCUUAAAAUCGGCCAAUGCAUCAACCUUUCUCUGUCGCAAAUGGAGAAAAAUGAGCCGCUGGUGAUGGCAGCUUCCUAUUUCUGGUCUGACGCCCUUAAUGCAUUUUUAUUUGGUCAUGGUCCUAUGACCCCCACUCUGGCCGAUGUAGUCCUCUUGACUGGCUUAGAUGUAUCCUCCCCUGACACACCUUUCCAACUUCUGAACGUUCCGUCGCAUCGGCUGGACACAAGAGGAAUCGGCGGCUGGAAGGGCUUCCUUAGUGAUAACAAGAAGACCGGUACUGUUGAUAACAGGGAGCACACCGCUUUCCUGUUAAUGUGGCUCGAAAAACACUUCUUCUGUGGAAGAGCCGCCGGCCCAACAACCAACACCCAACCUUUAGCCGAGGCACUGUCCAGAGGAAGCCGCAUUCCUCUCGGGAAACAUCUUCUGGGUGCCGUGUACCACAUGCUCCACCAAAUCGGCACAAAGCUUUCCAAAGGGGAACCAAUCGGCAAUCCAGGUGGGCCUUGGUGGUUCGUCAAUUUAUGGUUGAACCUCUAUAUGAGCAGAAUCACUCGGCAGCCAGUGGACCGUAUGACAUUUCCCAAUAUUGAAUCGGCAGAAGACCCCACCGAGCGUCGCCGAUGUAUGUCUUAUGGUGAAGCAGCGUCAGCUUUUCCAGGUUGUGCAUAUUCUGCUACAAAAGUAGCCGAAUACUUUCGGUGCUUUUACAACGGAUUCAAUGAGGAUGCUACCAUCUGGUUCCCAUACCAGCGACACAUCCCAGUCUUUGAGCUCCCCACCUGCUUUGACUCGACUUCUGGCCGGUUUGAUGAGGAUCUCUAUGAAGAAUUGAUCAAACCAGGACUUUUACCGGCCAACUUCUUCUCGGGGAAAAAUGCCCCCACAUAUGAGUUCUACAACCCAUCUACUGCUGCCCGGCAAUUCGGCAUGGGUCAACUGCCGAUACGGGUAUAUUUCGCUGGCCAAAUCAAGUUCAGAGAAGCGCUCAAAUCUGGCCUGGACUAUUGUCGGCUGCGAGACCGAAUUCCGGAUUCCAGUACGAUCAACUUGAAUGAAUGGCUAUUAUAUCCAUUUGCAACCCAGCCUUUCAAGCUUUGGUGGGCCGAAUGGAAGCAAUUCUUAUUCUGCAAUUCGGCAUCGGCGUAUUGCAACCUUCUGGAUCCAUCCAACAUUGACCCCAACGCCGAGGUAUUUCUGAUUACUGACUGUACUCUUUUCACCAUAAUUGAGCACUUAAUGAUUUCAUUUCUUCCUUAGGCUGGGAAUCAAGCCCCUCCCACGCACAGCCGCAGUGGCCGGCUAAUAGAAAGUUAUCCGUACACCACUUACCCUCUCAUCGGCUAUGACGCUCCAUCGGUCGAUGUGAUUACUGGCCGAUCGAAGAGAGUUCAGAAGAAAGUCGUCAAGAAAACCAGUCGCCGAGUUCGGGCUCGUACGGAAUCGGUGGACCCUCCUGUACCCGUAUCGGCAGAAGUCUCGACUGCACCGCCCCCGGCCAUACAAAGUGAUGACACUCAAGCCAUUACACAAGCCGGAGCGGCAGCCGCCUCACUAUUGCUGGAAGCUUUACAAGUGAGUUCAAGCUUUAUCUCUUCCGAUUUGUCAAUUCGGUAAUUACUCUUGUUAACUUUUCGUACUUCUUAGGGCUCUUCUAUGGAAAUACCACAGUCAGCAACAACUCGACCGGAGGCCAACACGCCCCUGCCUUCAUCCGUUGAGGUACAGUACUUGUCUUAUGGACUUCCUUCGGGUAUUUGCAUAACACCUUUAACCGAUCCUUCGACGCAGACCAUCGGCACACCAAGCGUUUCUCGACAACUGAUUCCUUCCCAGGGAGCCGGUCCGAGCACCGUGCCGAUUGUCGUAGAGUCUUCUUCAUCGGAUGAACCCAUGACUCAGGCCACUGAACAAGGUACAACGACUCUACAAGCGCAGCACGAGGAAAUCCGUUCUAAGAUGGUAAGUUUUUGAACCAGCUUCACCAGCCGAUUUACUCUGCCCCCCUGCCGAUUUACCCUUUUUUCUUUAUUCUUUUCAGGAACAGGACUCUCCCAACAACAGUCUCUUCUCUUUCGCGGUCGCUCUCUCUGAUGAUGAGGAGACUUCUUCUCGCCAAGUCGCCUUAAGCUCCGUCCCUGACGACAUCCGGGCUAAGCUUAUCAACAUCCGAUCCCUCCUUCAAGGGGAUAUCGGCCGAUUGGUAGAAGAUGCUUCGCCGAUUCGGCAGCUUUUUAGUGACGUCAGCGGACGCGUACCAGAGGAAGCGGAAGAGGCGUUGGCACCGGCGGCUUUUAUUGAGUCCAUGAGGAUUCCCAUUUUUAGAGCCCUUCGUCAUAUGGCCGAUCGCGCGAAACUGGCCAAGAUCCGUGAAGAUGAAAAUGCUUUCAAGCACCAGGCUCAAGAAGCGAAUCGGUGGAUCCAUGUCUUGGAAGAUUCACGGCCGGCGAUCAUUAGUGAAAUAGAUCGCCUCAAGCGACGGAGGGCGGACCUUGCCAAAGAGAUGGAACAAGUGACCAAGGCCAUCAGCGCCGAAGAGAGCAGACUUCAAGAAUUACCUUCGGCUAUUGCCGAUUUGACACGGGAGAGGCAGCGUCUUGCUCAGGAGGCUCUGAGGCUCCACCGCACCGCCUCAGAAGUCCCUGGAUCGGUAGAAGAAGACCAACGGGUUCUUGACUCUGCCGAUCAGAUCAGACGUCGGGCCGUCACGGCUAUCGAUACCCUUUUGGGUAAUCUGUAAAACACUGACCGUUUUGUACGAACAUUUACUGCCGCUUUUGACUGACCCUUCGUGAUCCCUUCUAUUUACUGCCUUCCUUAUUACCGAUGGGACGUGGCCUCAUCAGAUUUUACUGUAUCCCCCCAUAAAUAUCGACCCCGGCGCUUCCUCUCCGAUAACACUGAUUUGGCUUCUAUCUCAUUUCUCCCCUUCCUCUCAUCGGCACAUCCACUUCGUUAUGGCUUCAUCGUCGUCUUCUUCCGUCAACCAGGUGACGCUUCGCCUUCUCCUUUCAGAUCUUAGGAAGUGAACGUGCUAACUCGUUUCCUCUCUGUUUCAGCCUCAACGCCUUAGCCCAGAACUUGUGCGCGCCAUCGAGUGCCUACAUUCCGAAGACCCUCUGACCCCGGAGGACAAAGCUUUGAUCUUAGCUCAUCGGGCGGAGCUUCAAGAUCAUGUCACCGCAGACGCUCGAGUGGUCCUGGAGGCCGUGGUGAACGAGCACCAUCAUAUGCUUCGAGCCAUGAGGGGUCGUCGCCGCAACGUUCUUGAUGGUGACAUCACCUCAUCGACCUGCGCGAUCCUGGAUUUCCUGGAGAGGAACGGGAAUCCGCGGCUUCCUGCCGAUAUGGCUCGUCCGUUCCCUCGGAACCUGCGGCCUUCUACUGACAGAGUCCGCAUGCUUCCUCGGCCCGUCGCUCUGGCGGCGGCGGAGGCCUCUCGUCUUCCCGUGGAUCUCCCUCGUCAAGUCGAAGCAGAGAGUUCAAUGAAGGCCAUGGAAGAAGAAUACAUUCGACUCAUGAUAGAGUUGGGUCGGGCUGAGAGGGAGCGUAAGAACAAGAACAAUUAGUUGCUGUAUUUUUUAUUCUAAGGGCGACUUAGUGUUUUGUCGGCCAUGUAAUCGGUCGCCCGUACCGAAUGUAAUCGGCCCGAAUGAAUGUAAUCGGCCAUUAUGAACGUAAUCGGCCAUUCUGGUCGAUUUCAUAUGAAUCUCAAAACCGAGUUGUGUCGGUCACAUUUGACUGUGUUUAUUCCUUUAGGCCCCGACCCAUAUACUCGGGUAAUAUCUUUUUAAAUAUCUCCCAUUCAGAGCCCUAGUGAAUUCUUCCCCCUCUGUUGUUUCCAAAAUAUACGCAUUCCCUGGAGCGCAUCUGCCGAUUCUAUACGGCCCUUCCCAGGUAGGAGACCAUUUGCCGAAUUUAGGAUCUUUCGACCCGAUCGGUAGUACCAACUUCCAUACCAAAUCUCCAGGGGAGAACUGUUUGACUUUAACCUUUUUAUCAUACCACCUGGCCACUCUCUUUUUAUUCUCUUCGAUGCUUAUUAGAGCUCUCAGUCGUUGGCCGGCCAAGUCAUCAAGUUCUUCCUUCAUCAGAGCCGAGUAGUCAUCGGCCGACAACUGGUCUUGCAGUGAAAUGCGCCUUGAUCCUGCCCUUGACUCCCAUGGAAGUACUGCAUCGUGACCGUAUACCAACUGGUAGGGGGAUAACUUGGUAGCCCCGUGACAGGCCAUUCUGUAUGCCCACAGGGCCUCGGUCAAACAUAGGUGCCACUUCUUAGGGCAUUCUUCAAUCUUCCUCUUGAUCAACUUGAUUAUUCCUUUGUUGGAGGAUUCUGCUUGACCAUUGGCUUGAGCGUAAUACGGAGACGAAUUCAGCAACUUGAUGCCCAUAUCGGUCGUAAAUUCCUCAAACUCUCCCGAUGUGAACAUUGUUCCUUGAUCAGUCGUUAUAGUUUGAGGGAUGCCGAAUCGGUAGACGAUGUGAUCCCUUACGAAAUCGGCCAUGAUAGCCGAAGUCACAUUUCUUAGUGGGAUUGCCUCCACCCAUUUGGUGAAAUAAUCGGUGGCGACCAGAAUAAAUUUGUGCCCCUUGCUCGAUGGCGGAUAAAUUUGGCCGAUGAGGUCUAUUCCCCACCCUCUGAACGGCCAUGGUUUGAUGAUGGGAUUCAUGGCCGAUGCGGGUGCACGCUGGACAUCUCCAAACUAUUGACACUCCUGACAACCCUUAUAAUAUUUGAAACAAUCUUCAAGGAUCGUAGGCCAAUAGUACCCAUUGUUUCUGAUCAUCCACUUCAUCUUAUGUGCUGAUUGAUGGGCUCCGCACACCCCUUCAUGGAUUUCUCCCAUUAGAGUCUUGGCUUCUUCUGUCCCAAGGCAUUUAAGAAGAACACCAUCGAUCGUUCGGUAGAACAGAUCAUCUUCGAGCAACACGUACUUGGUAGCAUGAAAACGCACUCGUCGCUCCACCUUUUUGGAAGGAUCUUUUAGGUAAUCGGCAAUUUCCUUACGCCAAUCGUCAGCUGCAAGUUCCAAGGCCAUGGCGCCCGGAAUCGGCCGAUACCCAGAUGCGUGUUGAGCGAGUUUGUUUGCUUCCUCGUUGUGAUCUCUUGGGACGUGCUCGAUUACUGCCGAUCUGAAUUCUUUCAAAAGCUGUAAGCAAUCUUCGUGAUGGAUUCGCAAUAUGUCGUCUUUGCACUCAGCUCUUCCGGUUAGUUGAUCCACAAUUAGCAUCGAAUCUCCGAAGACCUCGACAGAAUCGGCCUUGACUUCUCUCAAUAAUCGUAAGCCUUUUAAUACAGCUCUGUAUUCUGCUUGAUUGUUUGUGGCGGCGGUUUCUAUCGGCAGAGAAAAAUCAUAUCUUGCCCCCCGAGGCGAUAUGAUGACGAUGCCGAUUCCCGAUCCGGCUCCGCAUGAUGACCCAUCGAAAAACAACUGCCAAGGCGCUGGUUCCACGAAGGCGAUCUCUGGCCCACAGUGCUGGGCAACGAAAUCGGCCAUGACUUGACCCUUGACGGCUUUCGCCGAUUCGUAUCGUAGGUCAAAUUCUGAUAAAGCCAAAAUCCAUUUGCCGAUUCUCCCUUUCAAUAUCGGCAGUGACAGCAUGUAUUUCACUACAUCAUCUUUGCAUACGACUAUACAUUCUGCCGUCAGUAGAUAGUGUCUGAGCUUGGUGCACGAGAAGUAAAGACACAAACACAAACGCUCUACUGGAGGAUAUAUUGUUUCGGCAUCCAGGAGUCUUCUACUAACGUAAUAAAUUACCCGUUCUUUGCCUUCAAACUCUUGGACUAGAGCCGACCCAAUAGCUUUGUCAUCGGCUGACAAAUAUAGUUUAAACGGCUUACCCGUUUGAGGAGGAACCAGGACUGGGGGUGAGACCAGGUAUCGCUUGAUGUCUUCUAACGCUUUGCGUUGUUCUUCUCCCCAUAUAAAUUCCUGGUCUGGCUUCAACUUCAGAAGUGGUGUGAACGCCUGAAUCCGUCCAGAUAGAUUGGAUAUAAAUCUUCUGAUGAAGUUUACCUUGCCGAUUAGAGACUGUAGCUCAGUUUUGUUUUGUGGGGCGACGACUUUGUUGAUAGCCGCUAUGGUCUUCUGAUUGACUUCAAUGCCUCGUUCGUGCACCAUGAAUCCUAAGAACUGUCCGGCGGAGACGCCGAAAGCGCAUUUGUUGGGAUUCAUCUUAAGACCAUGUUUUUUGGUGCACUCUAGGACCCUUCGCAAAUCGGCUAGGUGUUCCUCGUGGCUUUUGGACUUGACCACAACGUCGUCGAUGUAGAUCUCCACCAGGAGGCCGAUGAGUUUAUGAAAAAUAUAGUUCAUGGCCCUCUGAUAUGUAGCACCAGCAUUUUUCAAACCGAAAGUCAUCACCACCCACUCGAAUAGACCAAGAUGGCCUGGACAUCUGAAAGCCGUUUUGGGUAUAUCCUCUUCGGCCAUAAGUAUUUGAUUGUACCCGGCGUUCCCAUCCAUGAAGCUAAUAAUUUUGUGCCCUGCGGCAGCGUCGAUCAGUACAUCGGCCGUAGGCAUGGGGUAGCCAUCCAUCGGUGUGGCCUGAUUAAGAUUUCUGAAAUCGACGCAAACGCGCAACUUCCCGUUUUUCUUAUACACCGGUACGAUAUUAGAAAUCCACUCGGCGUAACGACAUUGCCGAAUAAAUUUUGCUUCAAUUAACCGAGUUAUUUCGGCUUUUAUGUCCGGUAAAAUUUUAGGAUUGCAUCGUCGUGCGGGUUGUUGGUACGGCCGAUACCCUGGUUUUAUGGGUAGCCGAUGUUCAACGAUAGAUCGAUCUAAUCCGGGCAUCUCGUGAUACUCCCACGCAAAACAAUCCUUGAAUUCUCUUAAUAAAUUUGUCAAUUUACACUUGUACUCUGGAUCUAAAUUUGCACUAAUGAAAGUCGGCCUUGGUUUGGUCCCGUCACCUAAAUCUACCAUCUCUAAUGAAUCGGCCGACGUGAAUCCGUGUCCCAGCUUCCCGUCUUCUCUGGCGAACUGAUCCAUUUCCUGCGCUUCUUCGGAGCCGACUGCUCGGAUCGGCUGUAGGCCAAAAUCGGUGACCUUCAGGAAAUCGGUUUCCCACACCCUACCUGAUAUGCACCUGACAGUUUCGCAGCUCCAUUGUUGUGCGUCGGCUGCUGCGAUGCUGUAUGCAGAGUCGGCUUUGACCACUUCGAUGUUAUCGCCGAUCCAUUGUACAAGGCAUUGAUGCAUAGUUGAUGGGAUGCAGCAGUUUGCGUGUAUCCAGUCUCGACCAAGAAGCAUAUUAUAGGACCCUUUGCCAUUAAUGACGAAAAAUGUGGUAGGAAGGGUCUUACUGCCGAUGGUGAGGUCGACGCAGAGGGCACCGCGAGCGUUUGACACCUUGCCUUCGAAGUCCUUGAGCAUCAUGUCCAUCCUGGUCAGGUCGUCGUCGCUUUUUCCCAGCUUUCGGAGUACGGCAUAUGGCAUGAUGUUGACGGCAGCUCCUCCGUCGACCAUCAAUUUAGUGAGGGGGCGACCGUCAACAUGCCCUUUAAGGAACAACGCCUUCAUAUGUUGUCGUUCGUCAUCUUCGGGCUUUUCGAACGUGGCCAUCAUCGGUUCUAAAGCCAACCUUGCUGUUUGUUCCUCUAUUACCGACACAUCCUGUUGAUCGGCGGGGGUCAUGAACUCCAUCGGCAAUAUGAAAACCAUACCGAUUUCAGCUGCCGAUUCGUCGCCUGCCGACUCGUCGUUGCCUUUGUCGUUUCUUUUGGGGCGCCACACCCAAGGCCUUUCUUGCUUUUUGUCCAUCGUGCCCUCUUCUUCUUGCUGUUCCCAUUGGCGGAGGCGUUGGAUUCUCCGUUUUUGUGAUUUGGUUAAACCGUCGGGGCACCAUCUGGGGUUUAUUGGCCUCCCUUCUUUCCCGGCGCGUUCCCAUUCUGGUUCGCGUCCUAACGGGUUCUCGUCUGUUACCCGCGCAUUGGCCAUAUCUUCGAGCCGGCUGUGAACGCUGGCUUUGCUACUUGAUUGAUCGCGGUGAUCGGUCCUGCCCCCCUGCCUAUUAUGGCUUCUUCCUUCUGACCGAUCAUAUCGGUCGCUUCUGCCCCCCAGCCGAUCACGCAUGGAAGGGCGUUGAUCAUCUGAAUUUCGCCGAUUCCUGUUGAUCGGUUCUGGCCUUCCGUCUCUAGAGCGAGACCUUGUGAACGGCCGAUUGUUUCGAUAGGGGCCGUUGCACUCUGGGCAAGUAUCGGCUGAUGGAAGUCUGAGGUUAUUUUCCCAACAGUGGAUGAAGAAUGGGCAUCUCCAAUGCUCCUCGUGCCGACGUAUUGCUUCCUCUCGGGACCUCGAUCGUUCAUGUUGGCGCUGGUAUUUUUGGAGUAGGAACUGGGAAGUGAUGCGUGGUCCUUCUGGCUCACCGUCGUCGUCCUCCAUCCGUCGCUUCUCCUUGAUGUCUUCAGACGUGACUUGAUUCCUGGGAUCGACAGCGCCACUCUUUUUUGCCGAUUCGGACGUCAGCACUUUUGUUUGGAGGGGAUUCUUACCCGUAUCCGCCAUGUUGGUAGGAAAUGGAUGCUGAUCAAUCUUCAUUGGUUUGGCCGGUUUUGCCGGCACUUCAAACUUGAGUCUGCCCUGUUCAAUGGCCGACUGUAUUUGUUGUCUGAAGAUUUUGCAUUCAUUGGUAUCAUGCGACGUGGCAUUGUGCCAUUUGCAAUAUUUCAUCUUCUUCAACUGUUCGGCAGAGGGAAUCGUGUGGUAAGGUGAGAGUUUAAUCUGUCCUUCCUGGAGUAGAAGGUCAAAUAUUUUGUCAGCUUUAGUAGUAUCGAAACCGAAUGCUUCCGGCUCCUUUUUGCCGAAUGGGCAUGAUAUUGGCUUCUUUCCCUUAAUCCACUCUGCAAGUCCGAUUUCGGCGUCUUCUUCAUCCUCUACUUCUUCCAGGAAUGCUACUUUCUUCUGGAAAUUCCUCCUUGGGUCAAAUGGACGCACCUCCUGCCCGGACAAUCGGUGGACAAUCUGGCUCAGGCUCUCGAACUCUUGUGAAGCAUAUUUUUCUUUAAUAUGUGGCAGUAGGCCUUGGAAAGCUAUAUCGGCCAACUGCGCAUCAGUUAGAGCCAAGGAGUAGCACUUGUUCCUGAUUUCCCGAAACCUCUGUAUGUACGAGGGUAUCGGCUCAUCACUUUGUUGCCGGAUGCUAGUCAGAUCAGACAGCUUCAUUUCGUGGACUCCAGCAUAGAAGUACUUGUGAAAUUGCUUCUCUAGAUCGGCCCAUGUGAUAAUCGAGUUUGGUGGUAGAGUGGUGAACCAUUGGAAAGCCGAUCCAGACAAAGAUGACGAGAACAACCGUACCCGCAGGGCAUCUUGCGUAGCUGCUUCGCCGCAUUGGAUGAUGAAUCUAUUCACAUGUUCUACGGUAGAAGUAUCAUCCAUUCCGGAAAAUUUAGUGAAAUCCGGAACUUUGUACCGAUGGGGAAACGGCAACAAGUCAUAUGUAGAUGGGUAUGGUGUCCUGUAGGUAUAAGUUUGAACCUUCGGCUUCAAGCCGAAUUGUUCUUGCAUCACUUCCGCGAUUUGCGCCGCCCAAUCUGGUUGUUGCUGGGGAAUAGCUGGCGGCGGAAUCGGCACAUGUUGAUAAAUCGGAGGUUGAAUGAAAGGGGACUGGUGAAAAGGUGGUAUCUGAAUAUAAGCCGGCGGUGUAGUAAAGGACGGCUGCUUGUAGGCACCACUCGUUUCAUCAUAUAGCAUGAGUUCUGACGUCUUGUUGACCUCCGGAGCGGUAGGCUGGUAUGGUGGUAUGAUUGGCCGAGUGGCCGUUUGGGAAGGUGUCUGGAACGGAGGAUUUCCUUGACUAACCGAUUGAUUCAAACCGGUCGUGUUUAAGGGUGCCCCCCAGGGUAAAGGGAUAACUGGAGGGAGCGGUGCGGUGGACGGCUGGAUGGAGCCGUAUCCCAAAGGAGUUGAUGACGUAGAAGCACCAGAUCCUCCGACAGAGGAUUGGAUCGGUUGUGAAGUCUGAUAGGCCUGAUUUUGUGGAAUCGGCUGAAAAUACGUAGGCCCCCUGUACCCCUGCGGUAUACCUCCGGCAAAGGAGUUGACAACAGCAUUGUGCACCAUGUUUGAGAGUACCGGGGAUUGGUUGAUGAAAGCGUGAUGAAGAGAUUGCUGAAUCAUAUCGGACAUUUUGUCCGAAUCUUCUGAAAUCGUGAUCUGGCGGGGAGUAGGAAAAGGAGACUUUUUAAUAGUUUCCCCGCUCCUGGAACGACUGAAAGACUUCAAGCAAGUUCUCCGGACUUGCUCCAAGUAUUGAUUCAGAUCCUCUUUUUGGUCGUCCUUUAGAUCUGCUUCCGUCACUUCGAUGACGUUAUCUUCGGAGACUUCAGCAGCUUUCGACAUGACAGCGGUUGUGAUGGUCCCACCGGGCGUGCCAAAAGUGUGUUGGUGCUAGAAAUCGGUCAACCGGAUCCCAGCAGCCGACACACGACCCGGGAGAAUCUGCUUAGCUCCUGUUCGGGUGAAUGCCCUGGUGCGGUUCGCGCGGCGUGCCAGCCAAUCUGACCUGUUGAUUGGCAAGGAAAAACACGUGUCAAAUUCAGUAACUACGAUCGGCUAAGUUUCCGAUCGGGAAAGCUUAUCGGCAGAUCAACCGAUUUACUGUAGUAGAGAAAUCGGCUACAAGACAGCACGAUCCCCGUAGCCUUGUAGAUAGAAAAAUAUUAAAGUAAUCGGUACAAGGUACGUAGUAACAGCACUAGGAAAAGAUCUAAUCGGCAACAGAUGGAUCUAGUAACGGAAGGUAAUGAAAGCCGAUACUACCGAUUCCUAGCGGGAUAACUGGUGAUAAAAACUAGGAAAAUAGGCAAAAACCUAUGAAGCUAGUUAAUACCGAUAACUGAUGAAUAAAUCUAAACGAAACAACAGCGAUACGCCAGAAGUUAAAGCUUAGAAAUUACUCGAUAAACGGAACUGACAGAAUCGGCCGGAGAUCAAGAUGAUGCAGCCCUGCCAAUCCGCACGAACUCGUGAGAAGGAAAAAGUGAUGGCGAAGUCGCCUGCUCGAAAGUAAGUAUGAAGAAUAAAGUAACUUGUUGUAUUGAUUGAUUGUUGUUUACAGAUUUACAAAGGUAGCUAUUUAUAGCCCCGUACAAAUAAUCUUCUUUAACCGACUAGGACUCUAUCUCUAAUUCAAACAGAAAACAAAUAUCUACAAGCACAAUCCGUGCUAAACUAAUUACCCCACGCUUCGUGGGCUGAACUCCUCCUCAUCUUUCCACCUUCCCAAGCCCAUACAGGCCCACUUUAGUCCACUUUCCUGAUCGGCCGAUUUUUCAUCAGCGAAGGAUUGCCGAUUGGGAAUCUGACGUAUUCACUCUGAAGUGAAGUAAAAGCCACUUGACCGAUUCCGCACUGUAGCCCCUUUUGACCGAUUCCUAUCUGUAUUCUUUCGAUUUCUCUCUUCUUUGACGCCGAUUCUACUGAUGACGAAAUCCGGCGUCAACAGCUACAUCUAGCACUCGCAAGAGUUUAAAGCUUGGAUGCAAGACCCAACUCUGAAUAUCACAACUAUAGGCAACCAAUGACCUCACUUGUGCGAUGUUCAUGUGAUCGUCCUGCUGAGUUUGCUUCAUAAUUCUGUUCUGGAGAGCUAACCUGCGCACCCUGUUCUGAUGUGGCAAUGUUCCUUCAUCAUCAUUUGAUGAGAUAGUCACAAAGUUUUCUUCAUAUGACAAGGCACAUAUGAGAUCAAGAACCAUGUCAUGAACACGACAGCCAUAUACUAUGCCAUUCGCUUCUGACUCGAAUUGUGUUCAGUUAACCACCAUAUACCAAGUAAGCACUAAGCAUGAGUUACCCAACAUAAAGUAACCCGGUUUGGUCAAGGCAAAGGUAAUUCAAUCUAGGCGAACCUUAAUUGGGACCCAUCAACUUAAUCUUAACAUGUGCAUAGCAUAAAUGUUGAGUACGAGAAAGUAAAGGUGUAUAGGAUGAAAAGUAGUGAUCAAGGACACGACUUGCCUUCUUGGCCUUGCUCCUGCUGUUCGUACUCCUCGAAGGCUUGGUCUUCAACUCCCUCGAACUGCGGGACGUCUACACGCGUCACACGAGCACAUACAAGCAAACAUGGGCAAAAAGUAAGAAACAGUACACCAAUCACAAUUAAACAGAAAAAACAAUCUUGAAAAGUUGAUCUACGCUUUAAAACGAACAUGUGGAUAUAAAGAACGCGAAAAAUGGAGUUAAGAUGCAAAAGAUAUGAUUAAAACAAGAUCCAGGGGCUUUUCUGUGAGAAAAACAAAACUUUUAGGGCCAAACCGCGAAAACCGAGGGCUUAUACGUAAUUACGCGUAUAAACCGAAGGUCUAACACGCAAAAACUCCAAAACGGAUGGCGGGUUGAUUUUUAGAAAGAUUAAGGGUUAAACCGAAAAGUGCAAGGGCAGAUCUGUGAAUAUUUUUCAACGCGAUCUGGACCGCGGGUUGAUUUGCGGAAAAGGUGGGGGCUUAAGAGCAAAAGAGGCGCGGCGCGGCGCGGUUGACUGUUACGUGGUCGGAUUGACCCGCUACGAGCCGUCGGAUCUAGAUCCUACGGUCGCGGUCGUCGACGACUCGCGGCGGCGGCGGAAAAGGGCAGCCGGCGGCGGCGAGCGGCGACGAGGUCGCCGGAGUUGGCCGAAAAAGCGCUCCGGGGCUCAGUUUCGCGCGCGGAAUGCACGAGAAGAAAGAGGGGGACUUGGCGAGCUCGUUUUGGCGGUCCUUGACGACCGAGGCUCACCGGAAGCGACGCUUGACGGCGGGGAAGAGGCGGCGGCGCUGGAGCUUUGGGCGCUAGGGUUUCGGGUGCUGCGGGCGCUGGUGUUGUCGACUGAGAGGGGCGGAGGCUUAUAUAGGGGCGGCGCGCUUGGAGAUAGAGGCGGCUCGAGUUCAAACGCCCGACGGAUUUGGAGCGGGGGCGAGGCGGUUACGGAGCCGGCGGCGCGGCGGUUGCGGGAGGAGUCCCGACCGGAGGUGGGAGAAGAUGAGGGUCCCACCUGUCGGCGGACGCGGGUGGUAGGCGGGCUGGCGAUGCUGUUGGGCCAGCGCGCGUUCGCGGGUCACGGAAGAAGCGGCGAAGUGGCGGGCCGCAGGGGUGGAGGGAGCUGGGCCGGCAAAGGAGAAAUAGGAGGGGGCCGGCGGAGCUUCUGGCGGCUGGGCCGCGUGAGAAGGUGGAGCGGUGGUGCUGGGCCGAAAGAAGAAGGGGAAAGGGAAGGAAAGGAGGAUGUGGCCCAAGGAGAGAAGAAGAAAAGAAAAAGAAGAGGGAAAAAGGAUAAAAGGUUUUGGAAUUUGAAUUUAAACUUGAAAUUCAAAUUUUGGUUCAAACUCAAACAAUCAAGAAUUAUGCUCCAGCAUGAAUGCACAAUAAAUUCCUAUGAUGAGUUAAUUAAAUUAAAGAAAAUGAAAUUAAAUGCCUAGAAUUUAAAUGACAUCCUAAUUUAAGCAAAUUUUAAUGAAUUUGAUUUCUCUAAAAUUUUGGGUGUUACAUCAGCCUUAUCAAAAAAAUACCAAAUAGUCACGAAAGCUAACCUUCAAGGUGCAAUAUUACAAGGAAAAGUUAGCAUUUUUUAGGUGCACACCACAUCAUCCCUGAUACGCUGAUGUUCGUGUGUGGACUGAAUUAAUUAGUCAGCAUUAGGUGCACAUGAUUUGGAGUUACUUUAUGUUUUUUAAUAACACACGGGUAAUUUUACAACAGUGUAUACAGUAUCCAUGUGAAUAUGAGAGGAUGGGCUUGUCGCUUAAAAUGGCUGUCCUUUAAGACUUGACUCUCUUCAACGAGAUGAUCUAUAGGCCGAAGCAGCGCAAACUACAAGACGUUAGAUCAAAAACCAAUUGACUAGCCUGCACGUCAAAUUAAACUACGGUCCAAUCACUGAUGGGUUUGUCGCAAUUGCCUAUUUUUAUAUGUGUUCUCUCAAGCUCUGUCUGCCUUUACGAACAGAGCCAGCUCAUCUGAAUUCUACUGGAGCAAUGCCCCAAUCGAACUAGCAGAAUAUGCAUGACAGCAAGAUGUGGUAAAAAGCGAGAAAAACUUUACUGAAAAUACGAAACAAAACGAGCAGGACAGCAUAAUAUAUGUCCCAAAAGUUAUUUGCACGACGUACAUGACACAGCCAAAUGGAAGAAACCAACAAACUAGCAGCUCAGAUAUUAUUACAGGUCUGAAACUGCAGGAAACUGAAUUGCCUAGUAGAUCAACCCGGUACACAGUUACGCACCUCCAAACAUUAAUUAUCUAGAAUCAAUUGCCAUGGUUUGUGUCGUUGCUGAAUCAAUUGGUUUAUCUUGUGUAGACAGAUUACAGCAAAUCGACUUGCAAGGCAGGACUGGAUAUUUAGAAAACAGAAACAGAGUCGGACGGUGACUAGAAACAGAGUCCAUUCAGGUAAAGCUAUCGAUCAGGCCUAAUUCCACACCAGCAGACCCGUGCGGUCAACUAACUUUCCACUGUUCCAAAUCCGACAAUAACUUGCUAUGGUCUCAGCAAUGCGUAUGGGUAGUCCCUCCUCCUUUUUCUAGGCUUGGGAUGCUAUGUGAAAUUAAGUAUUACCUUAAAAUUGCAUAGGCAGAGUUCCCUACCCACCCACUCAAAAGAAACAAAAAUAUAGAUAUAAGAAUUUUAUUUUGUAGUUUUCCAGGUUUUGCUUUUUUUUCGGAUUUUUUUUGUUUUUUCUUAGCUAGGAAACAAUGAAAAUAUUGUGCACACGAUAUUUAAAAGAAUAAACAUGCACCACAAAUUCAGGCAUGUCAAACCAAACAUGUGCCAGGUAACAUGCACUGCUACCAUUCCAGGGUCCUGAAGUUAACUCCUCCCACCGAGCAACUCCUCCCACCGAGCAAGCCAAGCUUAACCUGCAUGAGGGCCGUCAAGGAAAAUAAAAAUUUGUUUAGUACAAGAGAACUUGCAUGCCGACAUUAAUAAGUCACUGGAAACGGACGGAACUCAGACACAAGAACGGAUAUAUGUACGUAUGUAAAUGUCAAAUGUAAUAUAUAAAAAAUACUACCAAACAAUAUAUAUAUAUAUAUAUAUAUAUAUAUAUAUAUAUAUAUAUAUAUAUAUAUAUAUAUAUAUAGCUUUUGGUAUUCAUCUAUACAUAUACAAACAUAGUGCAAACUAUGAAUCUAGAAAUACCAAAACGACAUACAAUUUGAAACGGAAGGUGUGUGUAUAUAUUACUAGAGGAGCCAUAAAUAAGGCAGAAUGCAUCGUGCUAGCGAACUGAGCAACAAUUGGACAUGCUAGUAAGUAGUAAGAGAUUUUGGGAUGGGCUAAUAGCGUGGAGAGAGUGCGCAUACAUGUGCAUGCAGAAGAGGCAAGACUGAUUUGCAUUGAACAGAUUCAACAGCCAGGUGUCGCGGGGUUGUCGCAUCCUGACUCCGUGACAGCAGCUUCAUCGCCAGCUGCUGAGGCCCCGCCAUUGUCGGAAACAUUAUCACCAUCAUCGGACUGGAAUUGGGAAGGAAUUUGACUAGUUAAAGAAAAGUCGAACUGCAUGUUGGAAGUUACCAUGCACGUACCAAAUAAUCGUCUUUGCGUCGUUUGAGUAUGAUUCUUGGACCGUUGGGAUGGAGUUGUGAUGUGUUCCUCAGCUCAGCCUCUACCUUCUCCACGUCAUCAAUAGAGGCACCCUCACAGUCGACAGCUAUUUUGACACUGCAAAAUGAAGGGAGGCACUCCAGCCCGAGAUCACCGCAGCUACCGUUUCCAUCCUUAUAUAAGGCCCUGACGGGAACAUCAAACCAAAGCUCUUGGAGGUUCGGCAUCACUGGCUGUUGUGCUAUUGAUCUGCUGCAUUCAUCCUUUGUUUUGGUACCAAAGGCUGUAGCACCCAUCCCAUUCCAGAUGCUAAAUGAAACACCAGUAGAGUACUCGUUGAGCACCAACUGGACCAUCCAACCAUACAACUUGCAACAUCUCAACUUCUUGAAGAAGCCAUCAACCACAGUAUUUAUAUUAGCUACAGUUGCCAUGCAAGCCAUCGACGGCCGACGCGUUGACAGAAUGAGGAAACGGAGCUCUGGCAAUGCACCCAGGGCUCUCAAACCUCGCUCGUCCAUAUGAUCCACUCUCAAGCACAAGUAGUGGAGGAUGGGGAGAUGCAUGGGACUAAUCCCUGAUGACAGCUGACGGAACGGUACAGAAGUUAACUCCAAAUGCUGGAGAUGCCCCGGAAACACCGCUCUGUCCCACUCCCUCAUUGCGGCUUCACCCUUAUAAUCCCUUAGUUCCAGAUGCUGGAGUUUGUGGAGAUUGCCUAGUGAAUGCACAAGAUCUGACUGCACUAUCCCUUUCAAGUGACCAACACUAAUGUUGAGCACCCUGAGUUCGCUCUGGUUGCCAACGUCCUUCAUAAAUUGCCGCUGGGACUCCUCAUCCAAGUUAUCAAUACGUAUACACAGGUACUCUAAUGACGUCACCUUCCUCAGGAUCGACCCAUCAGGCACGCACGUAGAGAAGUCGCCACGUAGGCAGACCAACUGCGUUAACUGGCAAAUGGCCGAUGGCAGUACCU